AUUGAAACACUGGCUUCCAUACAAUCACUGAAGUUAAGCAAUGUCAAGCUUGGUUAGUAACUAGAUGGGUGAUCACUUGGGAUAGCAGGUGCUGUAAG